UCAUACUGCCAGGGGAUCCUCGGGGUUAGGCACCCAGGAAUGGAUGGGAUGCAGGCAGGGCUGGGACUGGUGGCUGGCUCUAUUGUGCUCUGAUGCUGCAGGAACAGACCAGAUGUCAUCCAGGGGCCCGGAAUUUGGGGGGCGCCGCUGGGUGUGGCAGCAUCAGAAGCCUCAGAUCCGCAUCUCCAUCUGCCACAGGGACAGAUGACCAAACCUUGCAGACAGCAGCGGGAGCUGGAGGGACUUUGUUGAGGACUGGGACCCAGGUGUGGUUGCUGCAAUGCCCUCUGCUUUGGCAGAGAAAAGAUGCAGAUUCCCAGGUCACACCAAGUGACCUCUCCAGAACCUGGAACAGCCUCUGUGUGGACUGCCAUGGGAGAGCUGGAGCCACCACAGAAUCUUGCUCACCCCAGGGAGGUGGCAGCAAUAGGAUCAUCAUGACUUUUCACCUUGACCUUUCACCACAGCCUGACCCCUCCAAGGUAGCUGCUCAAUGCCAGUUUGUGGAUCGACAUGUGAUUCUUACAUUUGCAACAACAUCUUCUGUGAGUAGCCUGCUCCCCCAGCACGAGGAAAAUGAGACUGAUCCUGAGAGGAUUUGAUUCGUGCAUUCUGGAGGGACAAGCCUGCCUGGAAAAGUCUCCUGCAGGAGAGGCAGACCAGGCUGCCCCAACCUGAGUGUGGACUCCAGCCCUGGGCUGCCGGGCUAUAUGUCCUCCCAUGUACCCACUACCCUCACCCAGUCUCAGCAGCGACUCAGAAUCUCUGUCUGGGUCUGGUCCACCACCUUCCCCUAUCUGGACUUGAACUCCUUCAGGGCUGGCACAGUGACCCAUCAUCCUAUCAUGCCCACAGUGACCUGCUGGGUGCUGUGAGAUGUCAGUUUGGGCCCUGCUGUGUGCACCAACUUCACUGGUGAUACUGUU